CACAGAUUAUAUCAAGCACAGUGAUUACUUGCAGCAACUAGUGAGCUGUGAAUGGGAUUGGGAAGAAGCAACAUAGGCUAUAUUGAAGUGGCAAAGACCCAGGGGUUAAAGGGCAAUCAGAGGUGACAGAUAUUAAACAUGUGCGUCUCAUUAAUCUGUUUACUGCUAGGCGCAUUUACCACAUUAUAUACGCUAUAUAUAUAGAUUUAUCACGCUA